ensembl:lncRNA
CUGGUGCCGCCUUCAGCAAGCGUACAAUCUAGCAGGCAUCCUACAGCGAACUGGCCACUACAUAACUCUGCACCCUCUUCCAGAGGCCCCUACUGUAGCCGCUCUCAAGCCUCAGCAUCAAACUAUGUCCUUAACAAAAUCAUUGUUUUCUCCGCACCAGGGGAGAGAACCGCUAAGUGCUCUGACCUCCUUGCUUCCAGCACGUUAAUACGAAUUGGGAUUUUGUGGCUUCACACGCAUUGGCUCACGAUCCUCCCAGCGGGGAGGGAAGACGCCACGACCUGCAUUUUACAGACAGGAGGCUCAGGAACUUGCUGGAGGCCACAGAGCAGAGAAAUUCGUGAGAAUGUGAGCGGCUCCUCUCACCUCGAUGGGUUCUUCAGCCCCGCCACUCAUUGGCUUGAACUGCUGCAAACUCAUGCAAUGGUGGACACAGCCCUGACCAGAAGCCCAUCCUGGGAAUUUGGGACAAGGACCGGGAGAGAUUCAGAGUCCCUUCCUGUGGCUGGAACCGAGAGAGAGAGAGAGACCUCAGAGGAGAGAGGAGGAAGGGAGAGAGAUCCAGAGGUGUCCAGGUCAGUUCCUGAAGACCCUGGCGUCUUUGAGACUCCUGGGACCCCUCCCGUCAUACUCCUUCGUAUCUGGCUCAAAUUGGUUUCUAUUACUUGCAAUUUUGAUAGAACAAAUGAUAUGAUGGACCAGGCAGUUAAUCACAUUAUGCCUCAGUUUCCUCGUCUGUUCAUGAAGAAACAUCAUUCAUUCACUCAGCAAAUAUUUAUUGAAUGCUUUCUUUGUGCUAGGCAUUGUUGUGGGUGAUGGCAGACAUAGCAGGGAACAAAAGAGAUAUUAAAAAUUCCUUUAUGAAAUGUAACUGCUGCUAAAAGGGUGUCUGGAAAUAAAUACAUGAAAGACAUAACUUUCAAACCAGGUACCAGCCGAAGAGCUGGCUGACACAACAGGCAGAGCACCCAUAUGGGGCCAGGGUCACUGAAAACAGUACUCACUCCUUUUGGCUUUACAGUAAGAUGGGAUCAAAAGGGUUCACCUUUUGUAUAGUGUCUUUUCUUUCACAUCUUUCCUUGGGUCCCCGCUGAAGUCCCCUCCUGAUAUUCUGCUGUAGGCCUCCCCACGACCCGGUUUCCACACCAGUAAACCCUCUCUUGCCCCGAGUGAUUUGAGUCUGUUCUCUCUCCUCUCUCUCAAUACUGCAGUUUCCUUCUGGCUUUGGCUGGGAGCAGCUUUCAGUCUAUUUUCAGUUCUCCUGUGGAGCAGCAGCAAAUACACAUACAUCUAUAAUUCUUAAAAUCUCAUUUGAACCAUCCCUCCUCCCACCCAGUUGUUUAUCAAAACGACUCAGGAGGCCUAAAUUAACUGAUGCGGCUCUGUCUUCGGCCGCUGCUUCUGGUAGGGUCGCAAACUGAGCAUCGCGAAGACGAAAAGACCUGCAGCAAGAGGGAGGAAGCAAGCACUGGAAAAUCUACACGAGGAAUGCCCAAGCUCUCCAAACAAGCUAGAAAAUUAAUUGUGAAUGGGGUUCAGUCUUCCACACUGCCUGAUGUCCCAUCCUCAAUGCUGGGCCCAAAGCUUCUUACUUCAGAGAAAAAUGGGCAAACUCCCAUACUUCUUAUGUAAAAGCAGAAUGAAAGCACCCGCCCUUUACUUACUGUUUUAGUAUCAACACAAUGCAGAGAUUCUUACAUAAUAAAGAACUAACAGUAACACUUAGCAACCAUGGCUCACAGCCCUUCUCAGCUCCCCAACAUUCCUUCAAGAGAUAUGAAGCCUGUCAUCACCAGCCAGGAAGAGGACAAACAUUCACAAUGAAGAUAGACAACCCAGGCUCUGCAAUGUCUCAGCCAGAAGUGUUGAGUUGUUUUUCAGUUUUUACAUACUCCAUGUCUCUGGUGCCUCUCCACCUCCACCCAAUUAGUGAAAAAUAUUCAUUCCUGUGUGCCUAAGUGCACGAGCGUGCACACACACACACACACACACACACGUUCUCCCAAAAUCCAUGUGCCCAGUGUCAGUGGUGUCUGGCAUGGAGCAGAGCCUGUUUGAAGAUGGAAACACUAUUUUCCCCACGCUCUCAGGGUGCUGUGGCUCUCCGCCCAAGGAAUGGGCUUGUCUGAUAAACUACUGCAUCUGUAAGAUCUCUGUCUCAUGGAGGACAUCUUGCUAGUUCCUAAAACUCCAGGGGAUGAUGGAGCUUAAAUAAGAUACUAAUGAUUAAAGAGAGGAAGCAGGGCAGCAUUUCCAAGGCAACAGCCAAUUUGAGGUUUUAAUACAAAGAGUAAGUUUUGUUUCUCACCUCAAAGGAUGGAGAGUGGAAGAGAACAAAAUGGGCUCUCCAAGUAAGGACUCAGAAUCCACGUUCUGGAGACUGUCCACGAUGCCUGGAUGAAUGGAAGCCUGCCCUACCCUUAACCAUACCUGUGACUGCCUUCGUACCCUCCCAUCCUCUAGCUGUCCAUCCUGUCUUUUUAUUAAAUGGAGGCAGUCAGGCAUACCUUUAUCUUAAUUUCUGAAGAUAAGGCAAAGACAAAUAGCUAAGAACAUAUCGCCUUAUGAUAGACAUUCAGGAAUUAGAUCAGUAGGUCUCUACCCAUCCUAGACAGAGGAGGGAGGUGGAACAUCCCAAGGCAAAUCAGUUCUGCUCUGUGCCAGAAAGCUCUUUCCAACGCAUCAGAACGGUUCUCUGGGCUGGCUAGGACUGCUUGGUCAAGUAAUGCAACAAUCUGGUUAGACUAUGUGUUGGUUAUAACACAUUUCAGGUAUAGGGAACCCUGCCUGGGCUGCAAAGAGCACUGGGCUGGGAAUCAGGACCAGGCUUCCUGCCUCCUGGCAGGUCUUAGCUCUCCGUAUCUGCAAGUCCAGUGUAGUUUUUGAGCUAACAGCAUCGGAUCCCUUCAGGUCCCACACUCUGCCCCAAACGAGCUGAAUAUGAAUUCCUGGUGUUGGGGGCCCAGGACUCUGCAUUUUUACAAGCACAAUGAGGUGUAGGACCUGCUCAGGAUCUGGAGGUUCUUGUCUGGAGCCCCAGAAGCUUAAGUUGUGAUUGCCCUGUUCCCUUCCUGUUCUAGCAUCCUAUGAUUCUGAGCAGAAGCUCACUUGCUUUUCUCAAGCUGGUUUCCACAUUCUCCAGCCGCAUUCCCGCAGCAUUACUGGUCACUUCACAGAUUCACAGACAGCUGUCAAUCCAGCAGGCUUCAACAAGCAAGUGACAAGUAACUAUAACCGUAUUUCCACCUACUUAGAAAACUAGGUCAGUGGAUGCAACAACCACGCUGGUGUUUGAACACAACUUACCCCCACAUCAGAAAGAAAAUGGAUUUACUCCACCACUUGCCAUGACUCUGCAGGAAAACCUUACUCUCAUAAGGAUUAUCCACCUCCCUCCAUGAACAUGGAAGUGACUUCUGGGGAUUGUGGACAACCAUUCUCAGCUAAUUUCUGGGGGCUUCUAAAAACAGGUUAGUGUGAGCACCAGAUACACAAACCUCUAGAACUGAUGUGGGGAAGAACAGUAAUGUUGGCCAGUGUUUCAAAACCCUAUCAUCAUGGUUGAUCCGUGCAACUGGAGAGUUAUGGUUAAAGGUGGUUAAGAUGGUUAAAUGUCAGCGAAUGAAGACAAGGACAUGGUUUUCAUCUUUUGUAGACCAAUUAACUUCAAUCUUUUUUUUUUUUUUUCGAGACAGGGUCUCAUUCUGUUGUCCAGGCUGGAGUGCAGUGGCACGAUCUUGGCUCACUGCAACUUCUGUCUCUCAGGUUCAAACAAUUCUCCUGCCCCAGCCUCCCGAGUAGCUGAGAUUACAGGUAUGUGCCACCACGCCCAGCUAAUUUUUGUAUUUUUAGUACAGAUGGGGUUUCACCAUGUAGGCAAGGCUGGUCUCGAACUCCUGACCUCCAGCGAUCCACCCACCUCAGCCUCCCAAAGUGCUGGGAUUACAGGCGUGAGCCACCCUGCCCGACUAUAACUUCAGUCAUUUUCUUUCAUGAACAUGAAAUGUCACCUUAAAAGUAUCAACCAAAGGAAUCUGGGUGACAGCGUGAGUUAGCUACAGGUAAAAUAACUCUAGGUCUGAGGUUCUUGGUUGGGUCAGAACAUUCUCCUUCAGGUACUAAAGAGACAAGUAGUAUGGAUGGCAUAAAUGCCCUCAGGCAGAAUCUCUUUUAAGCAGUUUUGCAAAAUAAUUUGCUCAUUAUAACCCAAGUUAACUCAGCAAUUAUUUCUCCAGAAAUAACGUUUUCUAGAAUAAAACUGAUGUCUUUCUGUAGUUGCCGGCUCACCUGCAGGCUGGUCACUGUACAGCAGCCUGGCUCAGGGUCUCUCUCAAUCACUCCUUCCUCCCUUUUGAGGAUAAUAACAUCUCCCUUCCUGGAUCCCCAAGCUCAGCCUUACCCUCCUGGCCCCAGAUACUGGAGUCCAAAACUGCAGACAGCAACACAGAGCAGACAGCAAAGGGCAUCUCCAUCACCCGUGCUUUACCAGGGACCCAGGGAACAAGCCAGGGUUCGCUUGACACGCUAUCAAAUGGGGGAAGGGAAAGGGGAAGGUAAAUGUGAGGUUUCAGCUUAAAUCUCUGAAUUCCCUUGUUCACAGUAGUAAUAGUAAUGGCUACCGCUUCCUGAGUGUCUAACUGUGUGCUAGUCCUUGGGGUGAUGCCUAAAUGCAUCACCUUAUUUAAUUCUCAAAACAUUCUUCUGUCCCUCUCCCUAAUCACCAGACUAUAUAGUCUAAGGAGUCUCAGUUUCCUUACCCUCUUCCACACUGCGGAGGAGAGUUCUAAAGAUCAAAUAAAAAAUAAAAGGAGACUCAUGAAAGGUCAGUGUGGGUCCAAAUAAGGAAAGGGAGCGAAACCGCCACGAAGGGCAUUUAAUGUCAGCGAGAAACUGUACACCUGGGACAGAGAUGAUGAGCACGCCGGGCCCGCCAGCCUGACCUGUCGCCGUGUCCUGUGGUUUGUGAGGCCUCCCUCGGUGGAGGAGUGACAGCAGCAGCUCAAGCUUCCCCUCCCGUGGGGGGAAGACAGCAUGACGUCCACGCAGCCCGGUCACACACCCAGGCUUCUGCAGCCCAGGCGCAAACAUUCAGCUCAGGGCUUUCCUGACGUGUCAGGUCAAACGGCCCCCAUUCCUCUUCAGGCAGGAGCUAGUGAACGGUGGAGGAUGAAGAAUUCUCGCUGGAAAGGCAGGCCCAAAGUCCAGGAGGUGCAGAGCUCUUUGUGGUCACUGGGCCAGAGAGGACCUUGGACUUCUCAUUUUAGGGAAGGAGCCGUUCCUGUAAACUGUAGAUGCUGCACAUAUGCACGGGAAUGAAAGAGUAAGAGGGCACCAGGCCUCUUAGGGAACCAAUCUACAUUCUGGGCAAGACCCUGAAGACAUCGAGGUUGAAGCUGAGUUCCCGCCACCUUCGUAGGGCCUCUUGGCCUAGUGGCCAGGGUCACAGGCAGUCAUCUAACCAACAAAGACUCCAGACUUCCAGACAAGCUCGUCUCCUCCAUCCAACCACAACCUCCCUCCUCCAGGCCAUGGUGGACAGACAGAAAAUAUUUCCAAGUCCCUACAUCCUGAGAGUCCUCGCCAGAGGGAGAGAAAAAGCCCCGUUUCCCACCCACCAGGAGGAGAGAACCAGCAAAGUCCACUCCUCAAAGAUCUCCAGCAUCUCUUAAAUAAGCUUUUCCUUUCCAUUUUCAUCUUUUCAUUAUUUAGCAUCCAUCCAUUUAUUUAUACAAAUAUAAAAUAGAUUUAUAUAGAUUUAUAUAAUAUAGACCUUUGUGAGGCAGAGUGCAGGGGGG